GAUGAACGCUAGCUACAGGCUUAACACAUGCAAGUCGAGGGGAAACGACAUCGAAAGCUUGCUUUUGAUGGGCGUCGACCGGCGCACGGGUGAGUAACGCGUAUCCAACCUGCCCACCACUUGGGGAUAACCUUGCGAAAGUAAGACUAAUACCCAAUGACGUCUCUAGAAGACAUCUGAAAGAGAUUAAAGAUUUAUCGGUGAUGGAUGGGUAUGCGUCUGAUUAGCUUGUUGGCGGGGUAACGGCCCACCAAGGCGAAGAUCAGUAAGGGUUCUGGGAGGAAGGGCCCCCACAUUAGAACUGAGACACGUUCCAAACUCCUAGGGGAGGCAGCAGUGAGGAAUAUUGGUCAAUGGGAGAGAGCCUGAACCAGCCAAGUAGCGUGCAGGAUGACGGCCCUAUGGGUUGUAAACUGCUUUUAUAAGGGAAUAAAGUGAGUCUCGUGAGACUUUUUGCAUGUACCUUAUGAAUAAGGACCGGCUAAUUCCGUGCCAGCCGCCGCAGUAA
rnacentral:rRNA from 1 species